rnacentral:tRNA from 1 species
UUGUGGCUCAGUGGUAGAGCACUUGCCUGGCAUGUGUGAGGCCCUGGGUUUGAUCCCAGUAUAUAAA